rnacentral:lncRNA from 1 species
CUCAAUUAAAAUAGCACAAUAUCGAUGAACUUGAUUUAAUUAGAAUUUCUUGAUUUAAUUUCCAGGACUUACUUGUACUAAGUUUUCAUAUAAAAAGUCAUUUGUAAUAACAUAAGUAAAAUACACAUUACAACUCUUAAUUCCCGUUAUCACCUAUCAGAGCGGGGUUUCUCCCAAACUUGAACUUCGAGACUCAUUAACCUGUAAUAACUGCGAUUUCGCAAACGCAGGGCCAAGCCAGUCAAACACAAACAACGAAGGAGGUGAGUUUUGAAAUCAUGUUGAUAAUAUAAUAUAAGUAAGAGGAACACACAAUUAAUCAUCAAUAAACUGUAUCAUUACACAAACAUUUUUCAAGGAAAAACAUCACAUUAUAUAGUCAAAUUCAAAGAAAAUCCAUACACUUCACUGUAUCAUCAAAUCAUCGCAUAAAUGAUUAGCACACAUAAUACAUAUUACUCACAACAAAACAAUCACAAGUAAAUGCAAUGCUAUGCAUGAGCUUAGACUCUACUUCACAAUGUGGUACCAUUCUAAUUCUGAAGUGCUUGGUUAGGAGGCUUGAUUAUAUGCCACCAUCCUGGUGGACGGACAAUUCAAAUUGGCCCUGUCCUCAUAGAUCCCCUCAACUCAACCCGAGACACAUAUACGUUAGAGUCGAGGUAAACGUGUGUUGUGUGGUAGCUCCCGACAUUUGGAGUGCUACCUCCAAUUCACCUAGGAAUUCCCCACCUGAAUACCUCCAAGGUCUAACAAUCUUGCCUUAAGGCUCGACAGUAGACCGCCACGAUCAGGCUCAUUCAGUUGUACUUCCUCGGAAUCACUAGGCUUGUCAAGCCCUACCUAUAUGAUGACAAAAUAAUCUCCACUUCACAAAUUCACAAUAUUUAUUCUCUCUCCUCGUUGGUAUAUGAUACUCCAUUAAAACUGUCAUCUCAAACACAAAUUGAAAUCACCAUUAUUUCAUCAACUAUGGGGUUAAUUUAAUAUUCUCAUCACGGUUUAGAACAUCACUAUCAUCAUCAUCACAUAAACUCAUCACAAAUUUAUAGCAUCACUAUCAUCAAUCAAACAUUAUCACAAAUUUAUAACGUCACAAUUAUUAAUCGUACAUCAUCAUCAUUACAUAAAAUUAUCACAUCACAUAAACUCAUCUAAUCACACAUAUAUAAAUUUUAUUCGACACCCAAUAUCACAACAAUAUCAAUAUCACACAUUCAAAUAAAUUAAACCAAUCAACGCCAUACAAAUAUUUCUAUUCUAUAUUUUAAUCCCACAAUUUCCAUAUUUUCACAUUAAUUAAUUUAUCCCUCAAAGGGCUACUGCCAUACGUAGCGAGCCCCGGAUGAAUCGUUGAGAAAUACGGUUUUCCAGUUCAUCUCACAAUAUAUUACACUCAUGAAUUCAAACGCUUUCUCACCCCUUACCUUAUUUCGACGCUUUCACACACGAAUAGGAUUCUACAAGCAAAUAGCAUUUGUUCAUUGACUCUUUGUCGAUCAACCGAUCUAACUCGACAGUUUAUGGAUAAACGUUAAAAAUAAAAUAUGAGAAGAUACUCUAAAAACUAAAUUCGAAAUUCGAUCAAGGAAAAAUAUCAUAAAUCAGAAAACCAAUCAGUGGAUAAUAUAGCCACUUUUCACACGGUCAUUUUGGCGUUGGUUUCACUCAAAUCGGACUUGCGGUGAAGGAGAAUGGUGCAAAAUAACAAAUUCUACAAACAGAGAAAUUGAUUAUUUUUAAGAGAAAUUGGGGUUGUUAAAAUUCUGGAAAAUUAUGUUUAAUGAACUAGUUAAAUGAAUAAAAUAACAUACUCAAAUUUGGGCGAAAAUGGAGAAAGUUUUCUGGACAGUUAUCGAUCACCGAUGCCAAACGAUAGGUUGUUGUUGUGUUUCUACUUUGGUUUCAAAGCUGCCCUUCCAAUUCCCCUUUUUCGUUGUUGUUUUAUUUUAUUAACAAUUAGGGUUCACACAUGGUUAAAACUCAUUGGUCCCUUUAUUUAUUUUUAAAUAAAACCAAUAAUUAAUAAAACUAAUGUUUUAACAUUUUUUUAAUAUAAUUUAAUUACGUAAUAUUGCUAAUAUUUUAUAAAAUAAAGUAAUAAAUCGUUUAAAAUAUAUUAAUAAUCAAAAUCUUCAUAUUAAAAAUAAUCACCCUAUAUUAAAUACUAAAUCAUAUUAGAGAAUAUUCAAAAUUAUAAAAUAAAUAAGUAUAAAAUCAACACUUUAUAUUAAAUACUAAAUCAUACUUAAUAUAUAUAUAAUCACAAUAUCAUAAUAAGUAUAUAAAAAUAAAGAAAAUCAAACACAAUAUUACCACUAUCUCAAGAUAAUUAUUUAUAAAGUUAAUAUUAAAAUAAAAUAUAUUUAGAAUUAAAUAAAUAUAAUUAAGUACACAUUUAAUAUUAGUCAAACNNNNNNNNNNNNNNNNNNNNNNNNNNNNNNNNNNNNNNNNNNNNNNNNNNNNNNNNNNNNNNNNNNNNNNNNNNNNNNNNNNNNNNNNNNNNNNNNNNNNNNNNNNNNNNNNNNNNNNNNNNNNNNNNNNNNNNNNNNNNNNNNNNNNNNNNNNNNNNNNNNNNNNNNNNNNNNNNNNNNNNNNNNNNNNNNNNNNNNNNNNNNNNNNNUAAUAUUUUAUAAAAUAAAGUAAUAAAUCGUUUAAAAUAUAUUAAUAAUCAAAAUCUUCAUAUUAAAAAUAAUCACCCUAUAUUAAAUACUAAAUCAUAUUAGAGAAUAUUCAAAAUUAUAAAAUAAAUAAGUAUAAAAUCAACACUUUAUAUUAAAUACUAAAUCAUACUUAAUAUAUAUAUAAUCACAAUAUCAUAAUAAGUAUAUAAAAAUAAAGAAAAUCAAACACAAUAUUACCACUAUCUCAAGAUAAUUAUUUAUAAAGUUAAUAUUAAAAUAAAAUAUAUUUAGAAUUAAAUAAAUAUAAUUAAGUACACAUUUAAUAUUAGUCAAACGCAUAAAAGAAUGAUAUAUUAAUUGGGUGUGCGUAUAUGCACGUAAAAUCGUAUAAAAUCUUUUUCUUAAAAAUAUAUAUUACACUAAAUACUAUUAUUUUUUUAAAAAUAUAUCAAAUAAUAAAAUAUAAUAUUUAUUAUUUAUAUCGCUCAUGUAAUCUGGUAUAUAUAAAACUAGCACAUCAUAAAAAUCACCUAUAUAACGGAAAUCAAUCACAAAGUUUAUUAACAUAUAUUUUAUAUUAAGUUUAACAUCAAAUUAAUUAUUUAAAAUCCUAUUUAAUUAAUAAUAUAGUUUAUCAUAAAAUUCAGGGUGUUACAUUUGUAAGCAUUGAUUUUUAUAUGAUCAUUAUUUUUAUUUUUGUUUUACUUUUUAUCUUCAAUACUAUUAUGUCUUUAUUCUUUUUUUGACUAAUUGAAUAAACUAUUAUUUCUUAUAUUUUAUGUUUCUUAUCUCAUUUCCACUUAAACUUUUGAUCACUAAUUCUUAAUUAGAGGUGUUAUGUCACAUAUGUAUUCCAAAAUUAUUUUGAUUUAAUUAUUCUUUUUGAAUACUGUAUAUAAUGAAUAAACUCAAAGUAUUAUUUUUUACGACAUAAACAAAAAAUAAUAUCGGAAAUGAUAAAGAAUUACUACUUGAUUUUGAUUAUUUUUGCCGUAAAUUAAAACUGUGCUCUGAUUUAUGCUUCAUCUAACAUUUAAGUUUAAUAUUAGAAAUGUGGAAGUGAAAUUUCAUCAUUAACUUUUAAUAGAAAUGUGGAAGUGAAAUUUCACUUGCUAGUAAAUAAUUGAAUGUCAUUAAUUUCAGUCAGCCAUGCUUCUUUUGAAUUUCACUUAAAGAUCAUUUAUUUUAUUUUGGAGCAUAAAUGAAUAUCGAUCUAACAACUGAAAUAUUAAUUUUGCAAAUAAAUGAAUAAAUAAUAUUUUAAUAAAUUACAUUACGUUCUUUUACAAAAUAAAAAAUAUAUCAAGUCAUUUUCUGACGCACCUUCAAAUUAUUACAUCUCUUGAGAAAAAAGAAAUUAUAGUUGUUUCUAAAAGAAAACAAAUAUUUUUAAGUAAUCUUUGGAUCAAAAAUUUAGAGCGUUACAACCAAACUGAUUUUCUCAACGAUCCUACUUCAAUUUCCAGACCAAGGAAUCUAAGUAACAACUCCUCAACAAUCUAAUUUCACUAUGCAUGCCAAAAAUCACGAGUAUUCUUUAAGCCUCUUCAAAGUUAAUCUACCACAAUAAUGAUAUUGAGAAGGCUUAAAAUACAAUGCAAUAAUUAAAGUUGAGAAGAUUCUCCAUAGUCAUUUACGGAUAAUUUUUCUAUGUUUUAGUGACACCAUUUUGUACCUGUUAUCUGUUCCUAUGUAAUAGGCCAUAUAAAUGGUGACACAUCUAUAUUUUACUUUGCAGCCCUUUGUGCUGAGUUUUGAUUCCUACAACAUCAUUUUCUGCAAAGAAACGAUUCAUGCAAGUCAUCAAUACUUAUCCCUCUCUCUAACCAUCCAUAUUCAUCUUGUUCUUUCAACUUCCUCUCUUUUUAACGACAUCCACAACCAUGGUAGAAACAUAAACUUCUUUUAAACUCAUUUAAACUUUUUCAUUUAAAGGAUUGUCCAUUAAUUUUGAUCUACGCAUCUUGAGCUUUUAUCAAGAGGUAAUACAUCAAAACCUCAUCUUUUUCUUCUAUGUUAAUAUAAAAUAGUUGUCUUUUUCAUCAAAAUUUAAUAGAAAAACCAAAACAUCAUACCAAAUUCACGAAUUGUAGUUGUCUCCUUAAGGCAUGUGUUUCUUCCUUCUCUUAUUUUUUAGUGCGAGUUGAAGUGGGCAGUUGUAGAGAAUAUUAAUGCUUAAGAAUAGCGUGAUGGAGAACUAAGGGUGUUCGUUGAAAGGCGGAUUCAAAUACUUCUCUAUUUUUUUCAUCCUAUUUUUUUCAUAUGGAUGAUUAUGGAGAAGAUUGCCUAAGAAUGACACAACAAAGAACGGUUUUCUGGGGAACGUUUCAAGCACCUAAAAUCAAUCUCUAUUUUCUAAUCUCUUCUCUCCUUUUUUCCUCCCUCUAAGAGUCUCAUAACACUUUUAUUUAUAUUAAUAAAUUAAUGUUAGUAAUUUUUAGAAAUAAAUAUCUACCAUUAUGACUAAUUAAGUUGAAUCCUCAAGUUUUAUUUUCUUUUAAAAACAUUACACAAAUUCCAAAAAAUCAUGUUAAAUAACAAUCAUUUAUAAAAAAUCCCAUAUUUAUUAAUUUUAUAAGUAAUUUCAUUUUAUUAUUAAAUAAAAUUAAAAAGUUUUGAAUUAAUUAUUUUUUAACCAUGUUAUUAUUAGACAAAAAAGUAGUAAAAAAAAAAUAAAAAACAUAACAUAUAUAUCUUUUCAUUAACCAAAGAAUAUCAUACAAAAAAUUAAAUAAAAAUUAUAUAUUAAAUUAAAAAAUAGAAGGUUAAGGUAAAAAAAAUGAAAAUACCCAUUUUAUUAAUAUUAACAAAAGACGGACAAAAUUAGGUGUCGUCAGUUGCCCCUCUUUACUUAAAAUUUACUUGAGAAUCAAUGUAAAUAAUAAGUAAAGAUGAAGACUCUUAUUUUGUCCAAAAAAGUUAGCAUUGCAAAGAUGGGUGUGAGUCGUUUUCCCGUCUUAAAAUGUGGGUCGUUUUCUCAGUUUAAGGGGUGCGAGUCGUUUUCUCUACUUGGAGUGUGAGUCGUUUUCUCUACUUAAGAUGGGGGCCGUUUUCUCGGUUUCGGGGGUGCGAUUCAUUUACCAAACUUAACGUGCAUUUCAUUUUGUCGGUUAUAGGAGUGCGAGUCAUUUCCUCGACUAGGGUUGCGAGUCAAUUUCCCAAGUUAUAUGCAGGUCAUUUUCUCGGCUUCGAGAGGUUCGAUUUGUUAUCUUGACCCGAGGUGCGACUCAUUUUCACGACUUCAUGGGUGCGAAUCAUUUUCCCGGCUUAAGAUGCAGGUUGUUUUCUCGACUUCAAGGGUCGAGUCAUUUUCUUGGCUUGGGAUGUAAGUCGUUUUUCCUGCUUAAAAUGCAGGUCAUUUUCUCGACUUCGAGGGUGCAAGUCGUUCUCUCGUCUUGGGGUGCGAGUCGUUUUCUCGGCUAAAUAUGCAGGUCGUUUUCUCGGCAUCAGGGUUGCGAGUCAUUUUCUUGGCUUUGGGUGCAAGUCGUUUUCCCCGCUUAAGAUUUUUCAAACACCACACAGAGCAUACUCAAACAUAUUUAUUCACACCAAUUUAAAUUUCCACAACCACACAUAAAUCACAUCUCCAAAUUUCAUCCACACCUAAAUUGAAUUAAAUUCAUUUUCCACCAAGUCACACAUAAAUUUCAUCUCAAAAAUUCAUAAUAUUAAUUAUGAACACAUCAAUUUCACCUAACAUAAAUCACCAAAAUCUCCAAACAUUAAUCACCAUAUUCAAUCUCUAAAAUUUUCAACCAUAAAUCACCACAACAACAUUAAUAUAUCAGAGUUCUCCCCACCGCUAACUCGGUGCCAACAGUCUCGAUUCCUUUUUGAGACUCAAGGAGCUAACUACAUAAACAUGAAUAUUUAUAACAACUUGUUCACAAUAAAACUAAUCCAAACACAACAAAAUUUCCAAAAUUAAAUCUUUAUCGCACACCAAAGUUUUAAAACCAAAUCAUCUAUAUUAUUUACUUAAAACUAAAUAAAACAAAUAUCGUCAAAAUUUCCCAUACACACACUCGAUUAUUAAAGCACCAAAAAUUUUGAGUCAAUAAAAUACUCUAAACUUUUUUUCUUUUUAAACUCAAUCAAAAAGUAAUUUAAAGAGUAACAUUUUAAACUCUAACCAUUUUUAAUUUCAAUCUAUCUUUUUGCUUAAACUCUUUAACUUAGUUAAAAUUUGAACUUUUUCACAACUUUAACAACACUAAUUUUUUGUAAAAUUUCAAUUUCAGUUCAAACUCAUUUAUUUGAAAAUAACUCAUUACGUAACUCAAACUCAUCAAAUUUAAUUAUCGCCAAUUCACACCGACAACAAUCAAUUCAAUUCCACAACACACAUAUAACACCUCAAUUAAAUUUCAACAAUUCAAACAUAACUCACCCAAUGUCAAAACUCCACAUUUUUACACAUAAACCACCAAAUUUCAUCAAUUCAUUUUCUACAAAAUCCACAAAUAAAUCACAGCUCAAAAAUUCAUAAUAAUAAUUAUGAACAUAUAAAUCACACCAAACUUGAAUCACCACAAACCACACCUCAAAUUUAAAUUCCACUAAAUUACACAUAAUCACAUUAAAUUAAUUUUUCACAAAAUCACGCCUCAAAUACAUCAAAUUUCUUUUCCACAAAAUCACAAAUAAUGUCCUAAAUGCAAACUAAAAGUUUGGAAGGAGCCCUUACCUUAACGAUAGCUCUAACACGCGAUUACGGUACCGUAAUUAAUUCCGGUAAAAUUUAAGUUUGUGACGUCGC